rnacentral:rRNA from 1 species
UACAGAGGGUGCGAGCGUUAAUCGGAAUUACUGGGCGUAAAGCGCACGUAGGCGGCUUGGUAUGUCGGGUGUGAAAUCCCCGGGCUCAACCUGGGAACUGCAUCCGAAACUGCCUUGCUAGAGUAUGGGAGAGGGAAGUGGAAUUUCCGGUGUAGCGGUGAAAUGCGCAGAUAUCAGGAGGAACACCGGUGGCGAAGGCGGGUCUCUGGGCCGAAAUUGACGCUGAGGAGCGAAAGCGUGGGGAGCAAACAGG